AUUGAACGCUGGCGGCAGGCUUAACACAUGCAAGUCGAGCGGAGUGAUGGUGCUUGCACUAUCACUUAGCAGCGGACGGGUGAGUAAUGCUUAGGAAUCUGCCUAUUAGUGGGGGACAACAUCUCGAAAGGGAUGCUAAUACCGCAUACGUCCUACGGGAGAAAGCAGGGGAUCACUUGUGACCUUGCGCUAAUAGAUGAGCCUAAGUCGGAUUAGCUAGUUGGUGGGGUGAAGGCCUACCAAGGCGACGAUGUGUAGCGGGUCUGGGAGGAUGAUCCGCCACACUGGGACUGGGACACGGCCCAGACUCCUACGGGAGGCAGCAGUGGGGAAUAUUGGACAAUGGGCGCAAGCCUGAUCCAGCCAUGCCGCGUGUGUGAAGAAGGCCUUAUGGUUGUAAAGCACUUUAAGCGAGGAGGAGGCUACUUUAGUUAAUACCUAGAGAUAGUGGACGUUACUCGCAGAAUAAGCACCGGCUAACUCUGUGCCAGCAGCCGCCGUAACAC
rnacentral:rRNA from 1 species